rnacentral:rRNA from 1 species
UACGUAGGGCGCAAGCGUUGUCCGGAAUUAUUGGGCGUAAAGAGCUCGUAGGCGGCCUGUUGCGUCCGCUGUGAAAUCCCGGGGCUCAACCCCGGGCCUGCAGUGGAUACGGGCUGGCUAGAGGCAGGCAGGGGAGAACGGAAUUCCUGGUGUAGCGGUGAAAUGCGCAGAGUAUCAGGAGGAACACCGGUGGCGAAGGCGGGUCUCUGGGCCGAUACUGACGCUGAGGAGCGAAAGCAUGGGUAGCGAACAGG